ACACAAUGCAUUUUCUUUUCUUAUCACUGAACUGUUUUGAAAGAUAAAAGCUACUUCCUGAAUAUGUGGAUGGUGAGCCACGUGAAUGGAAGACAUGGAGAUACGGACUGUUAACACCUUGUCAAACAUUUAUUGUCCCUUCCACCUCUAAACUUCUAUGAUAAUAGGUGAACAGGACCCACAUGGUGUGGAAUACUGCGAUACACACUGCGGAAUAAUUCAGGUAUCAAUGUGAUUUCAAUAGUAUGGUGCAUAUUGAGACACUGCCAGCCUUGGGAAGACCAGCUGUGUUCAUUGCGAUCUAUGGCUACCUAUACCUUUAAGUACCUAGCUUGGAAAUCAUUUUGUCCCUCUAGAUUUGAAAAAUUACACCCC
rnacentral:lncRNA from 1 species